rnacentral:rRNA from 1 species
UCCAGACUCCUACGGGAGGCAGCAGUGGGGGAUAUUGCACAAUGGGGGGAACCCUGAUGCAGCGACGCCGCGUGGGUGAAGGAGUAUUUCGGUAUGUAAAGCCCUAUCGGCAGGGAAGAAGCAAGACGGUACCUGACUAAGAAGCCCCGGCUAACUACGUGCCAGCAGCCGCGGGAAUACGUAUGGUGCAAGCGUUAUCCGGAUUUACUGGGUGUAAAGGGAGCGUAGACGGCAGUGCAAGUCUGGAGUGAAAGGCGGGGGCUCAACCCCCGGACUGCUCUGGAAACUGUACGGCUGGAGUGCAGGAGAGGUAAGUGGAAUUCCUAGUGUAGCGGUGAAAUGCGUAGAUAUCAGGAGGAACACCGGUGGCGAAGGCGGCCUGCUGGACUGCAACUGACGUUGAGGCCCGAAAGCGUGGGGAGCAAACAGGAUUAGAUACCCGGGUAGG